ACGGGGUGCAGCAGGCGCGAAAACUUUGCAAUGUGCGAAAGCACGACAAGGUUAAUCCGAGUGGUUUCUGCUAAAGGAACCUUUUGUCAGUCCUAGAAACACUGAUGAAUAAGGGGUGGGCAAGUUCUGGUGUCAGCCGCCGCGGUAAUACCAGCUCUCCGAGUGGUGUGGAUGUUUAUUGGGCCUAAAGCAUCCGUAGCUGGCUGGGCAAGUCCCCUGUUAAAUCCACCGAUUUAAUCGUUGGUGUGCGGGGGAUACUGUUCGGCUAGGGGACGGGAGAGGCCGACGGUAUUUUCGGGGUAGGGGUGAAAUCCUAUAAUCCCGGGAAGACCACCAGUGGCGAAGGCUGUCGGCUAGAACGCGCCCGACGGUGAGGGAUGAAAGCUGGGGGAGCGAACCGGAUUAGAUACCCGGGUAGUCCCAGCUGUAAACGAUGCAGGCUAGGUGUUUGGGCGGCCACGUGCCGCUCUAGUGCCGCAGGGAAGUCGUUAAGCCUGCCGCCUGGGGAGUACGGCCGCAAGGCUGAAACUUAAAGGAAUUGGCGGGGGAGCAC
rnacentral:rRNA from 1 species